CCGGCGGCCCGGAUAUUAUCAGAUGCUGUGGGCUUCCCGGCGCCUCAUUGCCCGAGGAGAGGCGGCCGCAGGUAGCUGAGCUGGAGCUAGCACAAGACCUACUCUCCACCCUUUUCCUUCCUGAUUUGAACCUCAAGAGGCCAACCUGCAUGGACUGCUUCCACAGAUCCCUUGUCCUCUGACUUACAGUUGAAUUCACCAAAUAGAAGACAUUGGAAAUGAGACCCGAGGGUUGGAGGAGGAGGAAGUUGCUGAUGGGAAGGCAGAAAAGUACAAUGGAAAGAGUAUGGGCUCCAGGAAGUGCCUGCAAUGUGAACACGAUGGCUGGAGCUCCGGCAGCCAUUCUGGACCAGGAGGUAGCCU
rnacentral:lncRNA from 10 species